rfam:Camelus ferus unplaced genomic scaffold scaffold782, whole genome shotgun sequence.
GUGGGUACAGCUCAGCGGUAGAGCACCUGUUUAGCAUGCAUGAGGUCCUGGAUUCAAUCCCUAGUACCUCCA